rnacentral:rRNA from 1 species
UACGUAGGGUGCGAGCGUUAAUCGGAAUUACUGGGCGUAAAGCGUGCGCAGGCGGUUCGUUGUGUCCGAUGUGAAAGCCCCGGGCUUAACCUGGGAAUGGCAUUGGAAACUGGCGGGCUUGAGUGCGGCAGGAGGGGGUGGGAAUUCCGCGGUGUAGCAGUGAAAUGCGUAGAGAUGCGGAGGAACACCGAUGGCGAAGGCAGCCCCCUGGGUCGACACUGACGCUCAGGCACGAAAGCGUGGGGAGCAAACAGG